GGGCCGUUAGCUCAAUUGGUCAGAGCAGCGGACUUUUAAUCCGUUGGUUGUGGGUUCGAGUCCCACACGGCCUACCU
rnacentral:tRNA from 7 species